AAAGUCGUAACAAGGUUUCCGUAGGUGAACCUGCGGAAGGAUCAUUAAAAGUAAUGAGUACCUCUUAACUGAGUGCUGAUUAUAAACCAGCUGUGUAUUUUACCUGUUGCUUCCGUGGGGCAGUGGCUCCGGUCACCUCCGAAGAUGAUACAAAGUCAUCCGAGGGGAGCUUCCAUGGGAGGUAAGAACCAAACCCUUGCAUUACCAUGCCUUCUGUCUGAUAUGUACACGAAAAUAAGGUUAAAACUUUCAACAACGGAUCUCUUGGUUCUC
rnacentral:misc_RNA from 1 species